CCUACGGGAGGCUGCAGUAGGGAAUAUUGCUCAAUGGGGGAAACCCUGAAGCAGCAACGCCGCGUGGAGGAUGAAGGUUUUCGGAUUGUAAACUCCUUUUGUUAGAGAAGAUAAUGACGGUAUCUAACGAAUAAGCACCGGCUAACUCCGUGCCAGCAGCCGCGGUAAUACGGAGGGUGCAAGCGUUACUCGGAAUCACUGGGCGUAAAGAGCGCGUAGGCGGGAUAGCAAGUCAGAUGUGAAAUCCUAUGGGUUAACCAUAGAACUGCAUUUGAAACUGUUAUUCUAGAGUAUGGGAGAGGUAGGUGGAAUGCUUGGGGUAGGGGUAAAAUCCGUAGAGAUCAAGAGGAAUACUCAUUGCGAAGGCGACCUGCUAGAACAUAACUGACGCUGAUGCGCGAAAGCGUGGGGAGCAAACAGGAUUAGAUACCCCUGUAGUC
rnacentral:rRNA from 1 species